UCUUUAGUCAAAGCUUUGAAUCAAUCCACACCCUUCAGCUAAAAGAGGAGUUAAGAGAAGGAGGAGGAGGAGCAAAGUCAAGCUGGGAGCAGAGUUUGAGCUUGGACUUGAGCUCAGAGGCUUUUGGAGGCGACUUGUACGAAAGCUGUGACCUGUGCUGUCUUUGUGCCGUGCUCUGUGACUCUGGAAGUCUCCUGUGUAAGCUGUGCACAGCCUUCAUUUCCUCCUUCCUUCAUUGUUCCUCACUGCCUGAACUCUCUUGGUGAGGCGAGAGUGAGAGUAAGAGUGAGAGUGGGAGAAGUGUUUCUGCUUCACUGAAGUCACAGAGAAGGCGAACAGCAAUGUUCUCAGUGAAGAUGACGAUCCCGGAGGGAAAAAAAAAAAACAGAGAUGGAAAGAGACGAGGGGAGGAGGCAGACGAGAAGCAGGGACGACUUACUCAUACAGGAAGGAAGUACAGGAAGUGUCCGAUUGGGGACAAACAAGUAGCAACGUAAUUGUGAACCCUGAACUCAUUUACUGUCUGGGUGGUCAUGAUUGAUGGGAACGUACGAGUGUGUGUGUAUGUGUGUGUUUUCUUGGUCCAGCUAUACGUACAUUACUUGUAGGAACAUUUCAUUUUCUUUUUCUUACUAGAUGUAUGUUCAGGUCACACGGUGGAAGGAUGGUUUGAGCUUUAGCCUUACAGCAACAAGUCCCUCAAGACCUAAAACCUCCUCCUACAGUCCAGAAAACAUACAGGAUUAGGAUAAGGAUAGGGAUUACUGAGCGAACAGAAGGGAAACAACAUGAAGUCGAAAAGUGAAUUGAAUCUAAGUGGUAUUUGGGAUGAGAAAGAGAGAGACUGACAGCGUCAGAGUUAUCUAUCAGAUUCAAGUCACGACCCAGAUCUACAGCUCACAAUGGAGGAAAUCUGCUUCUGUCGGUUUGGUUUCACUGAAAGAUCACAGGAGCAGAGUUUUUCCAGUUAUAUACUUCACGUUGUUCUGCAAAAGAUCAAGCCCCACUGCAAAAGAGACGGCACUGAUUUGUUUUCUGCACAAUAGAAUGAGCAUUCAAACGGCAUACACAAGGAGCCAUUCUGGCAGAAGAAGACACACGCACUUUACAAAAGGCCGGGGUUUUCGAAGCCGACGGAGCCGUGUUCAAUCUCACAUGACAAAAAGAAGAGCUCUUUAGUUUCUCUUUGUUGUCUUUUCUUGCGUUCAGAUUUAGACACGAUGAGUCAUGUACCUGUUUAUGUUGUUGGUGUCUGACCGGUUGAGCUUGUACACAAGGUUCCAUCUGUAAAGCCCACAUUACACAAUUGCAACCACACAGAUCCUUACAUAACACUUGUUGUUGUUGUUUUCCACUGCUAGGAAGUAUAUAUUCACUCCUACAGGACCAUUCCAAGCUGCAUUUUCACAGAGACAUUUUAAAUCAGUUAAUUGCAGUUUUACCUGAGGGCCUUAAGAAUCUGCAGAUGUCUUUCACUCACAGUCAGCUAUUGUUAUUUCCAUGAGGUCAUGCCUUAUAAAUAAACAGUUGUGUUUAUUUAUAAGGCCUAAGUAGUUUGACUAGAUGGUUGCAGAGGUUUUUGGAUCGGUGUUUUACAGCUCCUUUUAUUAACUGUGGCAUUGAUUGUAUUUAUUUUUCCUUCUAGUAAAUAAAUAUACUGUUUUUAUUCCCUUGAAAGGUAAACAAAGGAGAAAAACUUCAUCUUUGUAACAUCUGUGUAACAAUAAAGAUAUUUUUGUCUUCAUGCA